rnacentral:tRNA from 1 species
GGCUCGGUGGUCUAGGGUAUGAUUCUCGCUUUGGGUGCGAGAGGUCCAGGUUCAAAUUCCGGCCGGGCCU